GCCCAGCUGACUCAGUCAGAAGAGCAUGAGAUUCUUAAUCUCAGGGUCAUAGGUUCAAGUCCCAUGUUGGGCA